UACGGAGGGGGCUAGCGUUGUUCGGAAUUACUGGGCGUAAAGCGCACGUAGGCGGCUUUACAAGUCAGAGGUGAAAGCCCGGGGCUCAACCCCGGAAUAGCCUUUGAGACUGUAUCGCUAGAACGUCGGAGAGGUAAGUGGAAUUCCGAGUGUAGAGGUGAAAUUCGUAGAUAUUCGGAAGAACACCAGUGGCGAAGGCGACUUACUGGACGACUGUUGACGCUGAGGUGCGAAAGCGUGGGGAGCAAACAGG
rnacentral:rRNA from 1 species